AUUUUCAGCGAUGGAUGUCUUGGCUCGCGCAACGAUGAAGGACGCAGUGAAAUGCGAAACGCAAUGUGAAUUGCAGAAUUCAGAGAAUCAUCAGACUUCUGAACGCAAAUGGCACCUU
rnacentral:rRNA from 1 species